AUUGAACGCUGGCGGCAGGCCUAACACAUGCAAGUCGAGCGAGCGGCGGACGGGUGAGUAAUGUCUGGGAAACUGCCUGAUGGAGGGGGAUAACUACUGGAAACGGUAGCUAAUACCGCAUACCAUCAGAUGUGCCCAGAUGGGAUUAGCUAGUAGGUGGGGUAACGGCUCACCUAGGCGACGAUCCCUAGCUGGUCUGAGAGGAUGACCCGCCACACGGGAACUGAGAAACGGUCCAGACUCUGCCGGGAGGCAGCAGUGGGGAAUAUUGCACAAUGGGCGAAAGCCUGAUGCAGCCAUGCGGCGGGGGUGAAGAAGGCCUUCGGGUUGAAAAGCACGUUCAGCGGGGAGGCGUUACCCGCAGAAGAAGCACCGGCUAACUACGUGCCAGCCGCCGCGGUAAUUC
rnacentral:rRNA from 1 species